CUUUUAACAAUGACCACCAUUAGACUGCAUGUCUGAAGUGUUUCCUAUCAUCGCACGAAAGCUGCAGUACAUACAACCUAAAUUUUCAUCAUUGUCCAAACUGCAUUUGUUGAGGGUAAUCAAACAGCUUCUUUAACAGAGGAAGUAGCCCAAUCAAAGCUAUUUGAAGCUGCUCUGAGCUAUUUAUGCGAAUACUGAUUUGUCCUGCCCCCCUG
rnacentral:misc_RNA from 1 species